CCAGACUCCUACGGGAGGCAGCAGUGGGGAAUAUUGGACAAUGGGCGAAAGCCUGAUCCACGCAAUACCGCGUGAAUGAUGAAGGCCUUAGGGUUGUAAAGUUCUUUUAGUUGGAAAGAUAAUGACGGGUACCAACAGAAAAAGCCCCGGCUAACUCCGUGCCAGCAGCCGCGGUAAGACGGAGGGGGCUAGCGUUGUUCGGAAUUACUGGGCGUAAAGGGCGCGUAGGCGGAUUAGUAAGUUGGGAGUGAAAGC
rnacentral:rRNA from 1 species